rnacentral:lncRNA from 1 species
UGACUGAUGAGUCCAUGGAAGAGAGGGCCAAGAAAGAAGGAUCCACAGAAGAAUGAGGCCAUCCAAGGAACUGAGCGAGGGAUGACUGCCUGUGCCCAGGGAGGAGUGAAUAAAUGUUAAAAUGAGCUUCACAAAGAUUAAUUUAUUUUUAAUGAGACUUGAAGAGUGCUAAUAGAUUCUAAUCCCUGAACAAAAGGAAAGUUCAAGCCAGCAAAAUGGACAAAAUCAGCAGUAUUGAAAUUGAAAUGGCGACAGAUCGAAGCCUGAGCGAGAAGAAUAGAGCAAGAAGACAGAGCAAACAGUACAAGGUCCCAGAAAUAAUAGGAAGUGAUAGGAACAGAUUUUUAAAUGGAUGGUUUACCUUUAUUAGGAGAAUGUUCAAGACACGAAGGAAAGAAGAAAGGAUAAAACAGAGGCAUACAUGUUCAUAAUAAAAGAGACAAGAAUUGAAAGGACUUUCUCUCUGAUAACUUCUACUUUCUCUGUAAAGAACAGAACACAUCAAGUCCAGUCACCUGGAAGAGGGGAGACCACAUUGAGCAGCGCUGAAUCGUUCAAUCUGAGUGCACCUAGAGCAUGCAGCCUCCAGCUGACUAGGGAGUUAGUUGAUUUAGACACAUGAAACAAGCCCAGACAAGAUCAG